CUGUUGGUGUCAGUCUCUGUUUCAGUGUUGGACGAGGCGGCCUCUGUUUCAGUGUUGGACGAGGUGGUCUCUGAUCUGGCAGAUGAUGACUCCCAGCAGCACCAGGGCAGACCGGAAGGAGUAGAGCAGGAGGAAGUCCAGGGCUCCUGGGUAACCCUGGUCUAUGAUGUCAUCUCCACCUGCCAGAGCACCAGGGUCCGCAGCUCCCCCGCCACAUGGGGCACCAGGAACCUCCACAUCUCUAGGCUCACCUCCAGCGUCCUGGGAGAGAAGGAGACUCGUAUGCAUGACUCAGACUCGGACACACAGUCGCGUGUGGGGGACUAUGAAUGCAAAUCUGCAUGGUGAACAUGGACAUACAGACACCGCAGAGGCCGGUGGGAGGAGUUAUAGGAGUACUAAAUGGAAACUACACCGCUGUUCUAUUUAUUCCAUUCCAACGAGCCUGUUCUCCUACAGCUCCCCCUACCAGCCGCCUCUGACACAUUCACACACAGAGAGCUACCAGUACAGGAAGGAGAGGAAGAUGAGCACGCUGACAAUGCUGAAGGGGAGGAUGUGGAAGAUGUAGGCCAAGAACAUCUGUCACUUCUGGUACAGACCAUCCUUACUCUCCUGGUCAGCCAUGGCCCUCAGAGCAGGAACUAGAGGACAGCAUCAUUAGGCCAGUAGUGAUUAUGAUAUGAACACACCUCCUGCUAUUGCAUCCAG
rnacentral:lncRNA from 13 species